UGAAGGUUUUGAAAAUAAUGUUUGAAAAAUACUAAAUUCAACAUCAAUAUCAACUUUACACACUUCAGGGGAUGUAAUUAUUUCUUAUGAAAAAAAAAUCGUUAUCAUGUGGUGUUUGCAUCUGAAAGGAAAUAUUAUUCUGUGAUAUUAAUAUAUUUAUUGUUUUAUAUUUGUGUUGUGUUGUGUUUGUUUAUCACAUGCAUUAAGAAUAGAAUUUUUUAAAUUCUAAACAUUAUCAUGUUUGUUCAUUAUUCAUUUAUCACAUCAAUUACAGCCGAUUGCAUUAAGUGUGUAGGAAAAGGUAAUAUCCUUGGUUAGCUUGCUUGCUAGCUGAACCAUGAAGUCAAUAACUGUCAUUAUUAGGUUAGGUAUACUACCCUUCUUUCAAAGUAGCCUAGUCCUACAGACAGAUAGAUUGGUUAACUGUCUGACUAGUCUACUCUUUAAGGAGGGUAGUUUACCUUACAUAAUAAUGACUUCACUGUUCAGCUAACAAGCAAGCUAACCAAGGAUAUUACCUUUGCCUACACACUGAAUGCAAUCGGUUGUAAAAUCACUCAAUAAUUUAUGAAUUUACAUGUUCAGAAAACACACAUAUUAUUUAAUGUAAAAAGAAAAUAUUAAAUUACUGUAAUUUUACCUAAGGGUUGUAUAUCAUGUUUUUUAUACGGCUGCAAAAAUUGAAAUUUUUUUUGUCAUCUAUUGGUACGACGUUGACAUCGUUGUCGUCAUCCAAAGACAUUUGGUUUUUGCACUAUAAUUUUAGUAAAAGUAAAUAGAAAUCUAUGAAAUUUAAACACAAGGUUUAUGACCACAAAAGGAAGGUUGGGAUUGAUUUUGGGAGUUUUGGUCCCCACAGUUUAGGAAUUAGGGGUCAAAAGGUCCAAAAGGUCCAAAAUUAAACUUUGUUCGAUUUCAUCAAAAAAUGAAUUAUUGGGGUUCUUUGAUAUGCCAAAUCUAACUCUGUAUUUUGAUUCUUAAUUUUUGGUCCUGUUUUCAAAUUGGUCUACAUUAAGGUCCAAAGGGUCCAAAAUUAAACUUUGUUCGAUUUCAUCAAAAAAUGAAUUAUUGGG
rnacentral:lncRNA from 1 species